rnacentral:rRNA from 1 species
GAUGAACGCUGACAGAAUGCUUAACACAUGCAAGUCGAUGGGGAAGUGGUGCUUGCACCAUGGCAACCAUGGCGGACGGGUGAGUAACGCGUAAGGGACUUACCUGCAGGACUGGGAUAACAGGGGGAAACUCCUGACAAGACCGGAUAAUGUCAUGGAGCUGCAUGGCUUUAUGAUGAAAGGAGACGCCUGCGGAGAGCCUUGCGUCCUAUUAGCUAGUUGGUGAGGUAAUGGCUCACCAAGGCGAAGAUAGGUAGCCGGCCUGAGAGGGUGGACGGCCACAAGGGGAAUGAGAUACGGCACUUACUCCUACGGGAGGCAGCAGUGGGGAAUAUUGGACAAUGGGGGCAACCCUGAUCCAGCAAUUCUGUGUGCACGAAGAAGGUUUUCGGAUUGUAAAGUGCUUUCAGCAGGGAAGAAGUAAGUGACGGUACCUACAGAAGAAGCGACGGCUAAAUACGUG